AUACGGAGGGUGCGAGCGUUAAUCGGAAUUACUGGGCGUAAAGCGUACGUAGGCGGUUUGCUAAGUCAGAUGUGAAAGCCCCGUGCUUAACCUGGGAACUGCAUUUGAUACUGGCAGACUAGAGUAUGAUAGAGGGGGGUAGAAUUCCUGGUGUAGCGGUGAAAUGCGUAGAUAUCAGGAGGAAUACCAGUGGCGAAGGCGGCCCCCUGGAUCAAUACUGACGCUGAGGUACGAAAGCGUGGGUAGCAAACGGGAUUAGAAACCCUAGUAGUCC
rnacentral:rRNA from 1 species